rnacentral:piRNA from 1 species
UAUCACACUGGUUAAAACAGCUAUAAC